rnacentral:rRNA from 1 species
CAGCCACUCAUUCAAAGAGUGCGUAAUAGCUCACUGGUCGAGUGAUCCUGCGCCGAAGAUUUCCGGGGCUAAAACUUACUACCGAAGCUACGGCAUCAGUAAUGAUGGGUAGGGGAGCUUCCCAUACGGGUUGAAGCAUGACCGUAAGGACAUGUGGACAGUAUGGGAGUGAGAAUGUUGGCAUGAGUAGCGAGAUGUGGGUGAGAAUCCCACAGGCCGUAAACCCAAGGUUUCCAGGGGAAGGUUCGUCCGCCCUGGGUUAGUCGGGACCUAAGCUGAGGCCGAAAGGCGUAGGUGAUGGACAACAGGUUGAUAUUCCUGUACUACCGAUAACCGUUUGAGAGAAGGGAUGACACAGUAGGAUAAGCUAAGCACACUGUUGGUUAUGUGUGCCCAAGCAUUGAGGCAGUCAAAGUAGGCAAAUCCGCUUUGAUAAUGCUGGGAUGUGAUGGGGAGCGAAAUUUAGUAGCGAAGUAGCUGAUUUCACACUGUCAAGAAAAGUCUCUAUCGAGGUUAAAGGUACCCGUACCGCAAACCGACACAGGUGGGUGAGGAGAGUAUCCUAAGGCCAGCGAGAGAACUGUUGUUAAGGAACUCGGCAAAAUGACCCCGUAACUUAGGGAUAAGGGGUGCCACCAUCAGGUGGCCGCAGAGAAUAGGCCCAAGCGACUGUUUACCAAAAACAUAGGUUUCUGCUAAGUCGCAAGACGAUGUAUAGGAGCUGACGCCUGCCCGGUGCUGGAAGGUUAAGGGGAUCUGUUAGAGCAAUCGAAGCAGUGAACUUAAGCCCCAGUAAACGGCGGCCGUAACUAUAACGGUCCUAAGGUAGCGAAAUUCCUUGUCGGGUAAGUUCCGACCCGCACGAAAGGCGUAACGAUUUGGGCACUGUCUCAACAACAGACUCGGUGAAAUUGUAAUUCCGGUGAAGAUGCCGGAUACCUGCGACAGGACGGAAAGACCCCAUGGAGCUUUACUGUAGCUUGACAUUGGGUCUUGGUACUACAUGUACAGGAUAGGUGGGAGGCUUUGAAACCAGGACGCCAGUUUUGGCGGAGCCAUCCUUGGGAUACCACCCUUGUAGUACUGGGACUCUAACCAUAGGCCAUGAAUCUGGUCUUGGGACACUGUCAGGUGGGCAGUUUGACUGGGGCGGUCGCCUCCCAAAAGGUAACGGAGGCGCUCAAAGGUUCUCUCAGUACGGUCGGAAAUCGUACGUAGAGUGUAAAGGCAAAAGAGAGCUUGAUUGCAAGACAUACAGGUCGAGCAAGGAUGAAAAUCGGACUUAGUGAUCCGGUGGUUCUGCGUGGAAGGGCCAUCGCUCAACGGAUAAAAGCUACCCUGGG